CCACCGACCCGCCCAGACUGCAUCUUCACGGACCCAGAGGAUGCGAGUCAUGGGGCCGCGAACCUUUCUCCUGCUCUUUUCGGGGGUCCUGGUCCUGACCGAGACCCGGGCUGGCCCCCACUCCCUGAGGUAUUUCUACACCGCCGUGUCCCGGCCCGGCCUCGGGGAGCCCCGCUUCAUCAUCGUCGGCUACGUGGACGACACGCAGUUCGUGCGGUUCGACAGCGACGCCCCGGAUCCGAGGAUGGAGCCGCGGGCGCGGUGGGUGGAGCAGGAGAAGCCCGAGUAUUGGGAUGAGGAGACGCAGAAAGCCAAAGAGGCCGCACAGACUUUCCGAGCGAACCUGAACAACCUGAGCGACUACUACAAGAGGGAGGUCGGUGAGCGACGCGGGACCGGGUCCGGGUCACGGCCCCUACCUCCACGCCCCGGCGGAGUCACCCCAGGUGGUCAGGGCGGGUCAGGGUCUCACACGGUCCAGGAGAUGUACGGCUGCGACGUGGGGCCGGACGGGCGCCUCCUCCGCGGGUACGUGCAGUACGCCUACGACGGCAGAGAUUACCUCGCCCUGAACGAGGACCUGCGCUCCUGGACCGCGGCGGACACGGCGGCUCAGAUCUCCAAGCGCAAGUUUGAGCAAGGCGGUCAGGCGGAUCACGACAGAAACUACCUGGAGGGCACGUGCGUGGAGUGGCUGCGAAAAUACCUGGAGAACGGGAAGGACACGCUGCUGCGCGCAGACCCUCCAAAGGCACAUGUGACCCGUCACUUCAUCUCUGACCGUGAGGUCACCCUGAGGUGCUGGGCCCUGGGCUUCUACCCUGAGGAGAUCUCACUGACCUGGCAAUGCAAUGGGGAGAACCAGACACAGGACAUGGAGCUUGUGGAGACCAGGCCUUCAGGGGAUGGAACCUUCCAGAAGUGGGCUGCCCUAGUGAUACCUUCUGGAGAGGAGCAAAGAUACACAUGCCAUGUGCAGCACGAGGGCCUUCAGGAGCCCCUCACCCUAAGAUGGGAACCUGCUCAGACCUCCUUCCUCACCAUGGGCAUCAUUGUUGGCCUGGUUCUCCUCGUGGUGGCUGUGGUGGCUGGAGCUGUGAUCUGGAGGAAGAAGUGCUCAGGUGAAAAAGGAUGGAUCUACGCCCAGGCUGCAAGCAGUGACAGUGCCCAGGGUUCUGAUGUGUCUCUCACAGUUCCUAAAGUGUGAGACAGCUGCCUUGUGGGGACUGAGUGAUUAUCCGUCCCACUUUGUGACAUCAGAUCCCGGGACCCCUCUUUCUGCACCUGCAUCUGAAUGCAUCUGUGUUCCUAUUAGCAUAACGUGAGGAGUUUGAGACAGGAAAACAAACAGAACAUCUCAGAAGCAUCUGAGAAUCUUCCUGCUGUGCUGAGUCUGAUGUCAGUGGGACCAGAGAAGGAUACGAGGAGGUAUGAGCCCUCUCCAGUGAGUGCUGAGUCCUUUGUGGGCUUCAAAGUGGUCACUGGUUGGAUGAGUCAUCUUGUCUGUUUCUUUGUCCUUGUCCCUUUGGUGGGACAAGUUUCUACUAAAUGACUGAGGUCAGUGAUCAGAGAGCAUUCGGGUUGGGGAGGAGUCUUAAAUCCAUACUUCAACAGUUGUACUUUCCUAGGAAGAAAAGGGCUAGAGAUGCAUAUUGGUUUCUCUACCCUGAGGUACAUAGCCAGGUGGAAGACUGAAGAAGUGUUAUCAGCUCAAAAUAAUGAAAAUCAAUGAAUCCUUGCUGUUUGAAACUAUUACCUAAAUGGAUUUCUCACUCAUUCCUUAGUGUAAACAACAGAAUACAAAUUCUUCUGUUACAUAAACGAAAAUUGCGUGUAUGUGUACCCUAGGGACUCAUUUCAUUUCAGGAAAAGCCACAGAAUAAGCUUGAAGCUACACAGCCAGGAACAGAAUCCACAAUCCUCCUAGGUGGAGUCCCACUUCAGACCCACUGGCCCCAGCUGAGCACAGAUGUCACAGCUCACACCACUGAUCCCGUGCCGGGCUGGGACUGCUUUUGUUACUUCUCUUGGCAAAUGGGUGUCAUUACUGCCGUUCAUGCCACCUUUGCCAAAUGCAUUCUUCACUGUUUCAGCUUAUGUCACCACGCCCUGAGCCAGAGUCCGUAUGCGGUCACCUAACUGUGGACUUAUACUGUGUCUACCUGCAAGAAUGUUGGGAAAAUCCCACAUGCCAUGGAGCAACAGAGCCCACUGAUCACAACUAUUGGAGCCCACAUGCUUUAGAGCCUGUGCUCUGCAACAAGAGAAGCCAGCACAGCGAGAAGCCCCCGCUCUCCACUACUAGAGAAAGCCCUUGCACAGCAGUGAAGACCCAGCACAGCUAAAAAUAAAUAGAUAAUUUUUUUUAAAGUGUAUGAAGGUUAUCCUCUGCCCGUCCCACCAUUGUACAUUAGAUCUUGAUACAAAUGGCAAGAUUCCAUAUUUUAUAUGGCAGACUAAUAUUGCUCUUACGUUUUCAUAUCCAUUCAAUCAUUGAUGGGCACUUAGGCUGUCUCUAUAUCUUGACUAUUGUAGUAAUACUUCAGUGCACAUGGGGGUGCACAUCUCUUUUCUCCCCACUGAUCAAGCUGGCUUUAAUUGCUGACACAAAAACUUGCAUGUUUCACACUAGAACUGGCCCUGCACAGGUGUCUAAUGAAUGACCUUUUGACAACAGAGCCCCCUUCCCCCGUCAUGCGCCACCAUGUUUUAACAUGGGUCCCCUGAAGAAGCAAGUAAUUCAGAUGAGGCUCUGAAGAGCAGAUUACCUCACCUUUUUCCUGCCUCCAAUGUCCUUUUCCCAUGCCUAAGACCACCCUGCUUGGGAGGUGGGGGAGGAGGAGACAGGCAUUCGGCUUGUAGGAUCUUAGUUCCCCCACCAGGGAUUGAACCCGGGGCCCUUGGCAGUGAAAGUGCUGAGUCCUGCUCACUGAACUGCCAGGGAAUUCCCCUGGCCUGCUUCUUUGUCCUGUAAAUAUCGCAAGCCCCUGGCCUUUGGCGAAGGAAACAUUCGAUCUGUCCUCCCGUCUCCUCACUUGGCUGCCUUGUGACUAAAUCCUCUCUCUGCUGCAAUCCUUGGCAUGUUUGUGGUUUUGACUCACUGCUUACUGGUCAGAUGAACCUGUCUCAGUAACAUCCUCACUUCCAGGAGGGCUCUAGGCUUUACAACCUUGCCUUCUGCCUCCCACUUGCCUUCCAGACAGCAGAAGCUGAGGGAGGUGCAGGCAGAACGGCUUCCUUUAGUAGAGGCUUGAUGGGUGGGGCGGGUGGGGCAUGGCGUUGGCCAGUCAGAGGCCCCUGAAGAAGAGCUUGGGGCCUCGGUCCAGGGUGCACACUUUGGGGCCCAGCUGGCAGGCAGGGCAUCACGGUCCUCUGCGGAGAGACGGCUGCUGCACCAUAACGUUGUGCCAGAGGCCCAGGCGGCCUGGACAGCACAGCCUGACAGGCGGAGGAAGCUGAGGCCUCUGGACCAAUCUCGGAGGGCAGCCAGGAGCUCCUUCAAGCCAGUUCAGCUGAUCUCAGGGUUAGCAGACAAGUGAGUGAGACCAGUGAGGAGCAGAGACAGAGACAUCAGUUCAGAGCUCUUCAGGCCACGUUGCCCAGGUGGUUUGCCGACAGGUUCAGGUGCUCCAGGGCGCAGUCUUCCUGAAUCAGGUAGCUGACCAGGGUCGAUGAGGCCUGGGUCACUCUCGCUAGCAGCCACAGCACUUAGCUCCAGGUGCAGGAGGCUGCGGGCUGGCAGGCUGCUCAGGGCCUGGGCUAGGGCAGUGGCACCAGGCCAUUGUAGGACAGGGCCAGUGUCUUCAGGCACUGGGCGUCUCGGAAGGUGCUGCUCAGGGCCAUCUGGUGGUUCAGGAAAAAGCUGGCCUGGAGGUACAGGGUGCUGAGCGUGGGGCAGGCCCGCAGGACGGAGGUCAGAGCCUGGCCACAGCCAUCCCAGCAGGAGUUCCCCUAGCUGGUGGCAGACAGCGGCCUCCUCCGGCAGCUGCCUGCUCGUCUGUGCUCUAGUCUUGGCCUUGCUCAGCUGGUAAAACUCAUAGUCCAGGCUCAUACUCAGAGGUUCACCCAGUCGCCCCACCCAGGGUUCCAGACAUCCCGUGUUCUCCAUCGCCAUGGCUGCUACAUCUCUUUUUGAGUUAGUGUUUUCAUUUUCUUCAGAUAAACAUCCAGAAGUAGAAUUGCUAGAUUACAUGGUAGUUCCAUUUUUAAUUUUUUGAGAGAUCUCCAUACUGCUUUCCAUAAUGGCUGCUCUAAUUUUAUAUUCCCACUAACAGUGCCUAAGAGUUCCUUUUUCUCCACAUCCUCACUCACAUUUGUAGAAGACUUUAAUUAAAGUCCAGCUUAUCAAUUAUUUCUUUCAUGGAUUGUGCCUUUGGUGUUGUAUCUAAAAAGUCAUUACCAUACCCAGAAGUCAUCAAGGGUCUCUCCUUUAUCAUCUUCUGGGUGUUGUAUAAUUUAACGUUAUACAUUUAGCUCUAUACUCCAUUUUGAGUUAAUUUCUGUGAAGGGUGUAAAGUCUGUGUGAGAUUGAUGCUUUUUAAUAUAGAUGUCCAGUUGUUCCAGCACCGUUUAUUAAAGAGGUUAUCUUUCCUCCAUUGUAUUGCCUUGCUCUUUUGUCAAAGGUCAGUUGACAAUAUUUAUGUGAGUCUAUUUCUAGGCUCUUUAUUCUAUUCAGUUGAUCUACAUUGUCCCUUCGCAUCCACAGGAAAUUAAUUUCAGGGCCCCUCAAAGAUACCAAAAUCUGUGGAUGCUCAAGUCCCUUUUAAAUGAUCUCAUACUGUUUGUACAUAAUCUACACACAUCCUCCUGUGUACUUUAAAUCAUCUCUAGUUUACUUCUAAUACCUGUAAUACAAUACCUAUAACUGCUAUGGAAAUGGUUGUAAAUACACUGUAAAUGCUAUGUGAAUAGUUCCCAGUGUGUAGUAAAUUCAAAUUUUGCUUUUGGGAACUUUUGGGAAUUUUUUUUUUUCAUCGUGGGGGCAGUGGUUUGCCCUUUUCCUCUCUUUUAUGAAUUCUAGAAGAAUUGGCAAUUUUUCAGCUUAUUCAGGUUUUUACUUGUCUUAAAGACAGAAAGGUGAUUUCCAAGCUGCUCACGUGUAGAACUGAAACCAGAAACUCCCCAAAGAUCUUUUCACAUAACUGUUUUGCCUUCCAUUUUCCAUUUCUAGAAAAGUAGGCUAUAGUAUAUGGACAAAUCCUUCCACUGAAAAGAGGUAAAAAUACCAUGUUAAACUCAAAAACCAUCUUCUUAAAAGCAUCAGUGAGUUGAUAAGAAAGUAAUAAAUGACCUAGCCUCCCAAAGAAGGGAAAGAUCCUGCUUGCCCUUCAUAGAGAACAGUGUCCUGAAAAUGGAGAAACAGUUCUAUGAGUUUAUUGCACCAGAGUCUAAACAUGGCAGUCCUACACUCCCAGCUGUUUGCCCCAAGUUCCUGACUUUUUCUACCCAUCUGUCUUCCCUUUCAAACUCUAAACCAAGUUUUAAAAAUUCUGAUUAUAAUGUAUACAGAUAUUCUAUAAUGUAUGAUAAAGUAUGUUCACUAUAGAAAAUUUAUAAAAUGAUGAAACUGAUAAUAAAAAUAGCCAUAGCCUUCACACUUGGAAAUAUUCUGUUGUAUUUUCUUCUAGUUUAUUAUAUAACCUGCUGCUGCCCAAGGGCCACAGCUCUAAGUUGAUGAGCCCAGAUCUCAGUGGCCCCAAGUUCUGUGUCUGUAUCUCUGCCUUCCAACUAGUGAUGAUGGAUGGUCCCACACCUACCUAAGGUCACCUCUCAGCCUGAGCAUAAGAUUGGGCCCCUGCUUCCCCCAAUAAUCAAUUUCCUAGUCUCUACUGUAUCAUUCAUUCUUGCAUACAAAUGUGCUGUAAUGUUAAUACCUCUCAUUAGAACAAACAAAAUGAAACCAAAUAAAUGAAAAUAAAAUGGUCCCAUUAAAAUCCACCACUUGGUCCCAUAUCCCCCUCCAACCAGUGCCCCAUUUCUAUGACUUUCCUUAUAGAACAAUACUUGAGUCCAUUCUCUCACCUACUGUGUUGUCUUUUAUUUUUAUCAGAUACAUAUAUGCACAUAUAUUGAAAAAUAAAUACCACUACAAGUCCUGUUAAUGAAAAUAAGUGAGUAGGUGAAAGUCACUUAGUUGUAUUCAACUCUUUGCAACCCCAUGGAUUGCAGCCUCCGUCCAUGGAACUCUCCAGGCAAGAAUACUGGAGUGGGUAGCCAUUCCCUUCUCCAGAGGAUCUUCCUGACCCAGGGAAUGAACCCAGGUUUCCUGCAUUUAAUGCAGAUUCUUUGCCAUCUAAGCCACCAGGGGAGUCUCCCCAAUCUUCCAUACAUCCCAUUUCUGAUCUUAGUGCCAACCUCUUUAACGUUUGUGUCUGUUUCUCUUAUUGGUAUUUCUGUUCCUCUAAAUAGCACAUUCAUAGUGCUCUUUCUUUGUUUUUGUUUAUGUAUCAUUUUAGUGAAUUAGCUCUCUUUAACAUACCAUCAUCCUUCAAAUAGUUAUUUUAUCAUUUUUAUUAGCUCAAUGUUCAGUGUCUACAUUAUUAUGACCGUGUAAAUAAAUGCAUUUAGUAGACUAAAUAGCAUUUAGUAGACUAUGAUAAUUUUUUUCCCUUGAAUUUUUAAAACCAUUGUUCUGGAGUUAAUAAAUGUCUUAUUCCUUC